rnacentral:Y_RNA from 1 species
GGCUGGUCCGAAGGUAGUGGGUUAUCUCAAUUGAUUGUUCACAGUCAGUUACAGAUUGAUCUCCUUCUCUCUUUCCCCCUUCCCACUACUGCAUUUGACUGGUCUUUU